UGAACGCUGGCGGCAGGCCUAACACAUGCAAGUCGAACGGUAACAGGAAGAAGCUUGCUUCUUUGCUGACGAGUGGCGGACGGGUGAGUAAUGUCUGGGAAACUGCCUGAUGGAGGGGGAUAACUACUGGAAACGGUAGCUAAUACCGCAUAACGUCGCAAGACCAAAGAGGGGGACCUUAGGGCCUCUUGCCAUCGGAUGUGCCCAGAUGGGAUUAGCUAGUAGGUGGGGUAAAGGCUCACCUAGGCGACGAUCCCUAGCUGGUCUGAGAGGAUGACCAGCCACACUGGAACUGAGACACGGUCCAGACUCCUACGGGAGGCAGCAGUGGGGAAUAUUGCACAAUGGGCGCAAGCCUGAUGCAGCCAUGCCGCGUGUAUGAAGAAGGCCUUCGGGUUGUAAAGUACUUUCAGCGGGGAGGAAGGUGUUGUGGUUAAUAACCACAGCAAUUGACGUUACCCGCAGAAGAAGCACCGGCUAACUCCGUGCCAGCAGCCGCGGUAAUACGGAGGGUGCAAGCGUUAAUCGGAAUUACUGGGCGUAAAGCGCACGCAGGCGGUCUGUCAAGUCGGAUGUGAAAUCCCCGGGCUCAACCUGGGAACUGCAUUCGAAACUGGCAGGCUUGAGUCUCGUAGAGGGGGGUAGAAUUCCAGGUGUAGCGGUGAAAUGCGUAGAGAUCUGGAGGAAUACCGGUGGCGAAGGCGGCCCCCUGGACGAAGACUGACGCUCAGGUGCGAAAGCGGGGGGAGCAAACAGGAUUAGAUACCCUGGUAGUCCACGCCGUAAACGAUGUCUAUUUGGAGGUUGUGCCCUUGAGGUGUGGCUUCCGGAGCUAACGCGUUAAAUAGACCGCCUGGGGAGUACGGCCGCAAGGUUAAAACUCAAAUGAAUUGACGGGGGCCCGCACAAGCGGUGGAGCAUGUGGUUUAAUUCGAUGCAACGCGAAGAACCUUACCUGGUCUUGACAUCCACAGAACUUUCCAGAGAUGGAGGGGUGCCUUCGGGAACUGUGAGACAGGUGCUGCAUGGCUGUCGUCAGCUCGUGUUGUGAAAUGUUGGGUUAAGUCCCGCAACGAGCGCAACCCUUAUCCUUUGUUGCCAGCGGUUAGGCCGGGAACUCAAAGGAGACUGCCAGUGAUAAACUGGAGGAAGGUGGGGAUGACGUCAAGUCAUCAUGGCCCUUACGACCAGGGCUACACACGUGCUACAAUGGCGCAUACAAAGAGAAGCGAACUCGCGAGAGCAAGCGGACCUCAUAAAGUGCGUCGUAGUCCGGACUGGAGUCUGCAACUCGACUCCAUGAAGUCGGAAUCGCUAGUAAUCGUGGAUCAGAAUGCCACGGUGAAUACGUUCCCGGGCCUUGUACUCACCGCC
rnacentral:rRNA from 1 species